rnacentral:lncRNA from 1 species
UUCUCAUUAUAAAAUGACAUUCUUUCUUUUUUACUGUUUUUGAUUUAAAGUAUGUUCUAUCUGAUAUGAAUAUAGUUACUCCUGCUUGCUUUUGGUUUCCAUUCAUGUGAGGAAAAUCUUUUUCCAACUCCUUUACCCACAGUCUGUAAGUGUCUUUACCAGCUGAGAGGAUUUCUUAUAAGCAGCAUGUAGAUGGCUGAUUUUUAAAAACCCAUUCCAUCAAUUUAUAUCUUUUAAGUGGAAUAUUUAUGUCAUUUACAUUCAAGGUUAAUAUUUUAUACUUUCCCGCACUUUUAUGGUGGUAAGUACUAACCCUUUGUUUCCAUGUUUAGAAUUCCUUUGAGUAUUCCUUGUAGGUCCAGUCUAUUUGUGACCACUUCCCUUGAUGUUUGCUUUUGUGGCAAAGACUUUAUUUCUACUUCAUUUAUCAAGCUUACUCUACCAGGAUAUAAAAUUCCUGAUUGACAGUUUGCUUUUUUUUUUUUUUUUCUCUUUAAGAACUCAGAAAAAAGGCUCUCAAUCCAUUCUGGCUUGUUAAGUCUCACAUUGAGAAGUCCACUGCUACUCUGAUAAGGUUUCUCUUAUAGGCAACUAGACAUCAGAUUUUUUCCUACAUGUUGACUUUAUACAGUUUGAUGACUAUAUUUCUUGGUGAACUAUGUCUUGCAAUGCACUUUUCUGGUAUUUGCUGGGCCUCUUAUAUUUGAAUGUGUAAAUCUUUUGCAAGACUAGGGAAAUUUUAACGUAGUAUUUCCUUAAAUAGGUUUUCCAGUCUUGUUACUUUUUCUUCUCUUUUGGAAAUACCAAGGAUUCAUAAGUGUAAUCAUUACUAUGUAGUACAUAUUGAAGUCUUUGUUCAUUUUUUUCUUUUUUUCUGACUCUAUUAAUUUAAAAGAUUUGUUUCAAGCAGUGAGAUUCUCUGCUUUGCUUGCUCUAGUCUCUUGUUGAAGCUUUCAACUGUCUUGUUUAAUUCCUUCAAUAAUUUUUUAUUUUCUAGCAGUUCUGGCUUUUUUAGAAAUAAUGAUAUCCAUCUCGUUGGUACACUUGUCAUUCAUAUUCAAAAUUAAUUUGUUGAUUCAUCAGUACUGGUUUUCAGAUUUGUCUUUUUAUUUCCAUGAGAUUCUUUACAAUCAAUAAUUUAAAUUGGUAUUUUGAUUAUUUCUUUUUGGUUAGGAUCUAUUACCGGAGAAUUACUGUUUCUUUGGGGAUGCCAUAACCCUUUGCUAUUAAAUACUUCAGCAUUAUUACACUGAUUUCUUUACAUAUGAGAAAACAGUUGCUUCUUCUUGCUUUUGAAUUUACUUUCUUUGGGGGGAAAUUUUUUUUUUUCUCUUCAGGAUGUGACUAUGAUGUUAUGUAGGGCUGUUUCUCUUUGCUUCUGGGUAUGUUCAGUAGCAAAGACUCUGUACAAUAUUAGUUAAAAAUAGCUUUAAUGUGGUGGCUUUAUAAAAUGGCAGUUGUAGUAGCUGUGUACUGGGUGGAUGAAGAAGCCACUUCAGAAUACUGAGAAGCCAGGGUGGCAUGGGUGAUGGUGGAUGCAGAGGUCACAUGAAGCCUGUCUCCUUCCUGAGUGCUGUGCAUCUUUUUCAGCAGAUUUGCCUUGUGUUUUGGAGGCUGACCUGGUCAGUAGGUGGUACAUGCCAGUUAGAGCAGGCUGCCAUGAUAGCAGUAGGGUUUAUAUGUGAUCUUUGUUAACAUCUGUAGAAGCGCUUUCAGUGUCCCAGGUGGUGGGUUGGGCCCUGGAGUGCUCAAGGGCUUGAGUCACCUUCUCUCUAGGAUGGGGUGGUAAAGCUGAGUAAAGCCAGAUUGGGGAACCCUGCACUCAGGCCCCCCAUGGCAGAUGUACACACCAGCCCUGAGAGGGGUGGUGGGGGAGUCCUCAGGCCCCUGGUGAAAUCUGCUGAGGUCUCCGCUUGGGGAGUGAAGGGCGGUACCAGCACCAUGGCUUUGACAGGCAGGAAUGAGAUCUGCUACCUUUACUCGCCUUUGUCUGACAUUCAGAAUAUUCGGUUAGGUUAGACAAUGCUGUUUCCUUUUAGGCUGCAAUGCUGUUUACUUAUAGGAUGAAACUGUAUCAGACUUUGUAGUGGCUGUGCAUGUUGAUAUCCUGGCCAGUAGGCAGUGCGUGCAGGUGAGAGCCAGCUGCAGUGGUGGUGUUACAGUUAAGGCUUGACCUUUGUUAACUUGGUGAUGUACUUGGGUUUCCCAGGCAAUGGGUUGGGCCACGGAAUUCUCAGCGGUCUCAGUCCUGUACUUUGCUUCCAAGGUGGGAAAUAGGGGGGAAAGCUGGUGGUGUUGGGUAGAGGAGAAAGCAGGGUGGGGCUGAGAUGGGCAGGUCUAUACCUGGUCCUCCUAAUGGCCAGUACAAGUGCCAGCCCUGAUGGGGGUUGGAGGACAGUUCUCAGGCCACUGGAGCAAUAGUUCAGGGAGAAGUGGAGCAACUCUUUCUGUUCCAACUAACCAGCAUGGGGAAAGUGGGGUGGCUCGGGUUCCAUAGCCUAGCAGGUGGUAGUGAGACCUGCCUUGCUCUCAUGCUCUCAACCUAGCGGGAUACCAUCCUACGGCCUGCCACUGGCAUCGAGCUGAGGCAGCCAGCCAAAUCACAAGCAGUUUGUCUUUGGACUGCAAUAUAACCCCAGGCCAUAAAACUGUGGCUCCCAGGUGAAACCCCUCCCAGCCCAAUUCCAGGAUGGGGAGGUUCCCGAAUCCCAUAACCUUGGCUGGAGCCAAUGCCACACUUGCUUAUCAGUUCUGGCCUCGUUCCUGGGACUGUGCAUAGUCUGCUAAAAGCAGAUGAGAAUUUCACAAAAUGCCACGUUAUCACAAAUUUCUGAAGAGGCUGACAGGUUAUUAAUCAGGAUAAACCACAUUGAAUAAAGUAUUCCUGUUAAGAUGAGGACAUUGAUGCUUGGUAAUAUUAAUCACCCAAGGAAAAAGCCAAUACAUGGCAGGCAAAAGUGGAAUUUUAACUCAAGUCUGCCUAAGUUCAUUAUCCAAGGAUGUCUCCUCUCUUCCUGAAACUGAAAAGUGUUUGUCAAAGGUUCAUCCAGAAUUAGAGACCUAGCAAGCAGCUGAAAAAUAUGGUUUUUCUCUGGAUUGAAGGAUUAUUUAGAUCUGACUGAAAAUUCCAAGGCCCAAUUCAUCAUGCCCAGUAUUCUCCCUUUACUUGAAGAAGAAAGUGUGAUCUCCUUCUGAAGAUGUGAUACACAGCAGUUAGCAUGAGAUCUGUAUAAUUUAUAAAUAAAUUUAUAUGACAUUUACAAUAAUUCAAUCUAUAAAAAAUGCUGACAUUCUGUAUAAGGUUUCUGUUUUCCCUUCAGUUUUAUAGCUUUUAUUGAUUUCCACUACACCUAGUAUUACAUACAAAAUUGAUACCCAUUUUCUCUAAUUUCUAUUGACUUUUUGUCCUAUAUAAUUUAAUAAGAGAUAACACCUUAUUUAUAGGAAUUCUAGAAUUUGAUAUUCAGAGCCUACGUAGAAAGAGACUCAAGAUUAAAAUACAGUUUAAAAGGAAGAUAUAGUAGGGCAAGACAGAAAACAUGUCUUCUAGAAGAUACACCUUCCUUGAUUAUUUCUUAGGUAUGAGAGACAUUUAUGGGUUGCAGAUGUUCCAAAUAUGAGACCAGGGCCCAGAACCUCAUCUGACACUUACCAGUAGCAGCAAGUAUUUAUUGGGUAAUUUCUAUGACUAAGGGACUGCUCUAAGAAUUCUGCAAAUGAUAACUUUUGGGCCACUAAUACCCUGCUAAAAUGAAAAUCUAAAGGUCUUUUCUUGGUCUUCUUUUGCAUUAUAUUUUAGUAUCUGCCGAUGGUUUCUGACCACCUUUUAGCACCCAUUUUUCUCCCUACUUAGCCCUCUGUCAAUCUCCAUUUUACACCUUCUUGUUUGGAGGGCUCAUCUCAGUCUUGACCUCUUCCCUCUUAAAGGGCUCUCACACCUGCCCUGGCUUUUUCCCUCAUCUUAGGUCUGCUAAAUGUGAUGGCUUUGUUGUCUUUACAGCACGAUUAAUGUGAUAACUUUAAAGCGUCUCAGUACCCAAUCCAGCUCCCUCUCCUGAUUUACCUAUCUUUGUGAAUAGUAUCACCCUUUUUUAGGUAAUUCAGAGUCAAUUUUUUACUUUUUACUCUCUCUAGUGUCAAACCAAUCAGCAAAUUUACUGAUUCCCUCCACAUACUGAUGUAGUCCAGCUCCGGCUCUCACCACCUCAUGCCCUGACCUGUCUCCUGAGUGGUUUCCACCUUUAGAAAAUACUGCAUUUUAAGACUGUUUAAAUCUGCCUCUCUUUUAACAUCAAAAUCUCAGGCACCUCAGAGGUUCUAAUAAUCUUCCUCUGAACUCCUACUGCAUGCUCAAGAAGCAUUACAUUAUGCAUAUCCCACCAGACCAGAAAUUUUGUUCAACUUUACUUUCUGAAGUUAAUAAAAAAGGUAUUAACAAAGAGAUGUUCAAAAUUGUUCUACUAUUUCCCAUCACUUCUACAGAAUAAAAUCAACAUUUGUUCAUCUGUUAUUCAUUUGGUAAUCCAAUGGAUUCCCAGGCCAUUUAUUAUGCUUCUAUAUUUUUACAGAAACUGUCGAUUCAACCCAAAGUGGUUUAUUCACUAGUCACUAACCAAACCAUUUUUAUGUCUCCACAUAUUUUUAGCCAAAGUCCAGUACAAAAUCUCACCACUUCCAUGAGGCUUUUGUACCCUUUCUCAGCUUAGGAUAAUCUAUGUUUCCACAAGACUUAUUAGCACUUUUUCCAUGGCAUUAAUUUCAUAAUCAACAAUGAAAUGCAGUUUGGUUUCUCUUAUAUUGUGGCAGUUACUUGUUGCUUUACUCUUGUAUUUUUUUUAACAUAUUCAUAUUCUGUCUUCCCAACUGGACUAUAAAUUUCUUUCUUUCUUAUUUAUUUAUUUAUUUAUUUUUUGAGAGGGGG